GAUGAACGCUGGCGGCGUGCCUAAUACAUGCAAGUCGAGCGACAACACGAGGAGCUCGCUCUCCUGACGUUGGCGGCGGACGGGUGGGUAACACGUGGAUCACAAACCUCUAAGACUGGGAUAAUUUCGGGAAACAGCAGACACUACUGGCUCAUAUAACGAACCGGAUAGAUCAAUAGUGAUAGACGCUUUUGCUGUGACUUAUAGAUGGUUCCGGACCGCAUUAGCUAGUUGGUAAGGUAACGGCCUACCAAGGCAACGAUGCGUAGCUGACCUGAGAGGGUGAUCAGCCACACUGGAACUGAGACACGGUCCAGACUCCUACGGGAGGCAGCAGUAGGGAAUCUUCCGCAAUGGGCGAAAGCCUGAUGGAGCAAUACCGCGUGAGUGAAGAAGGUCUUCGGGUUGUAAAGCUCUGUUAUUAGGAAAGAACAAAAGUAGGAUAAACUAUGGACGUCUUGACGGUACCUAAAGAGAAAGCCACGGCUAACUACGUG
rnacentral:rRNA from 1 species